rnacentral:rRNA from 1 species
UACGUAGGUGGCGAGCGUUGUCCGGAGUUAUUGGGCGUAAAGAGCAUGUAGGCGGUUUUUUAAGUCUGGAGUGAAAAUGCGGGGCUCAACCCCGUAUGGCUCUGGAUACUGGAAGACUUGAGUGCAGGAGAGGAAAGGGGAAUUCCCAGUGUAGCGGUGAAAUGCGUAGAUAUUGGGAGGAACACCAGUGGCGAAGGCGCCUUUCUGGACUGUGUCUGACGCUGAGAUGCGAAAGCCAGGGUAGCGAACGGG